UACGGAGGGUGCAAGCGUUAUCCGGAUUCACUGGGUUUAAAGGGUGCGUAGGCGGUCGUGCAAGUCUGAUGUGAAAUCCCGGGGCUCAACCCCGGAACUGCAUUGGAUACUGCCAUGCUCGAGUACUGGAGAGGAGACUGGAAUUUACGGUGUAGCAGUGAAAUGCGUAGAGAUCGUAAGGAAGACCAGUGGCGAAGGCGAGUCUCUGGACAGUUACUGACGCUGAGGCACGAAGGCCAGGGGAGCAAACGGG
rnacentral:rRNA from 1 species